GACGAACGCUGGCGGCGUGCUUAACACAUGCAAGUCGAACGGAAAGGCCCUGCUUGCAGGGUACUCGAGUGGCGAACGGGUGAGUAACACGUGGGUGAUCUGCCCUGCACUUCGGGAUAAGCCUGGGAAACUGGGUCUAAUACCGGAUAGGACCAUCGUUUAGUGUCGGUGGUGGAAAGUUUUUUCGGUGUGGGAUGAGCUCGCGGCCUAUCAGCUUGUUGGUGGGGUAAUGGCCUACCAAGGCGUCGACGGGUAGCCGGCCUGAGAGGGUGGACGGCCACAUUGGGACUGAGACACGGCCCAGACUCCUACGGGAGGCAGCAGUGGGGAAUAUUGCACAAUGGGCGCAAGCCUGAUGCAGCGACGCCGCGUGGGGGAUGACGGCCUUCGGGUUGUAAACUCCUUUCAACCAUGACGAAGCUUUCGGGUGACGGUAGUGGUAGAAGAAGCACCGGCUAACUACGUG
rnacentral:rRNA from 1 species